rnacentral:rRNA from 1 species
GAGGAGAAGCCCGGAGAUGGGCACUGAGACAAGGGCCCAGGCCCUAUGGGGCGCAGCAGGCGCGAAAACUCUGCAAUAAGCGAAAGCUUGACAGGGUUAUUCUGAGUGAUUUCCGCUAAGGAAAUCUUUUGGCACCUCUAAAAAUGGUGCGGAAUAAGGGGUGGGCAAGCCUGGUGUCAGCCGCCGCGGUAAUACCAGCACCCCGAGUGGUCGGGACGAUUAUUGGGCCUAAAGCAUCCGUAGCCGGUUCUACAAGUCUUCCGUUAAAUCCACCUGCUUAACAGAUGGGCUGCGGAGGAUACUAUGGAGCUAGGAGGCGGGAGAGGCAAGCGGUACUUAGUGGGUAGGGGUAAAAUCCGUUGAUCCAUUGAAGACCACCAGUGGCGAAGGCGGCUUGCCAGAACGCACUCGACGGUGAGGGAUGAAAGCUGGGGGAGCAAACCGGAUUAGAUACCCGGGUAGUCCCAGCUGUAAACGAUGCAGACUCGGCGAUGAAUAGGCUUCGUGCCUAUUCAGUGCCGCAGGGAAGCCGUUAAGUCUGCCGCCUGGGGAGUACGGUCGCAAGACUGAAACUUAA